AGCCGUCCAGCUUACCAUGCAGUCGAGGGGAACGGCAUUAAGUGCUUGCACUUUUUGGACGUCGACCGGCGCACGGGUGAGUAACGCGUAUCCAACCUGCCCCUUACCAGGGAAUAGCCCGUUGAAAGACGGACUAAUGCCCUAUGCAGUCCUUUGACGGCAUCAGAUUAGGACUAAAGAUUCAUCGGUAUGGGAUGGGGAUGCGUCUGAUUAGCUUGUUGGCGGGGUAACGGCCCACCAAGGCAUCGAUCAGUAGGGGUUCUGAGAGGAAGGUCCCCCACAUAGGAACUGAGACACGGUCCUAACUCCUACGGGAGGCAGCAGUGAGGAAUAUUGGUCAAUGGGCGCUAGCCUGAACCAGCCAAGUAGCGUGCAGGACGACGGCCCUAUGGGUUGUAAACUGCUUUUAUGCGGGGAUAAAGUCACCCACGUGUGGGUGUUUGCAGGUACCGCAUGAAUAAGGACCGGCUAAUUCCGUGCCAGCAGCCGCGGUAAUACGGAAGGUCCGGGCGUUAUCCGGAUUUAUUGGGUUUAAAGGGAGUGUAGGCGGCCUGUUAAGCGUGUUGUGAAAUGUAGAUGCUCAACAUCUGAACUGCAGCGCGAACUGGCUGGCUUGAGUACACGCAACGUGGGCGGAAUUCAUGGUGUAGCGGUGAAAUGCUUAGAUAUCAUGAGGAACUCCAAUUGCGAAGGCAGCUCACGGGAGUGUCACUGACGCUUAAGCUCGAAGGUGCGGGUAUCAAACAGGAUUAGAUACCCUGGUAGUCCGCACGGUAAACGAUGGAUGCCCGCUGUUGGCGCUUUGCGUCAGCGGCUAAGCGAAAGCAUUAAGCAUCCCACCUGGGGAGUACGCCGGCAACGGUGAAACUCAAAGGAAUUGACGGAAUU
rnacentral:rRNA from 1 species